CUGGUUUUGUCACCACAAUGUCUACUUAGCAAAAUCAAGGACCUCCGGGGCUUAGGAGAGGCAAUAACAUAAUCUGAAAGUUGAUAAAACACUGUCAAAUCCUGGAGUAUGAAGCAUCCCAUGCAAAACCUCUCCCAAGCACCACAAUACAACUCUCCAGUGAGGAUUCCUCUCCCAGUUAUUAACCAGAAGAUUUCAGCCAUGGGGAGAAAGGAAAGGAGAUGAGAUCCCUCACACAACUCUGAAAAUGGGCUUUUCUUCAGAUUCUUGAGUUACUAUCAGUGGCCACUCAAUAGCGGUCAGAUCACACAGCUGGAAAAGUGGCUGCUAUAUUAUCAAUCACUCGCAACACAGAAAUAAGCCAGAUCUGUAGAGUAGACCUCUACUUGGAUGCUCCAAAGAUACCUCAAACUCA